AGUCGAGCGGUAGAGAGGAGCUUGCUUCUCUUGAGAGCGGCGGACGGGUGAGUAAUGCCUAGGAAUCUGCCUAGUGGUGGGGGAUAACGUUCGGAAACGGACGCUAAUACCGCAUACGUUCUACGGGAGAAAGCGGGGGACCUUCGGGCCUCGCGCCAUUAGAUGAGCCUAGGUCGGAUUAGCUAGUUGGUGAGGUAAAGGCUCACCAAGGCGACGAUCCGUAACUGGUCUGAGAGGAUGAUCAGUCACACUGGAACUGAGACACGGUCCAGACUCCUACGGGAGGCAGCAGUGGGGAAUAUUGGACAAUGGGCGAAAGCCUGAUCCAGCCAUGCCGCGUGUGUGAAGAAGGUCUUCGGAUUGUAAAGCACUUUAAGUUGGGAGGAAGGGUAGUAACUUAAUACGUUGCUACUUUGACGUUACCGACAGAAUAAGCACCGGCUAACUUCGUGCCAGCAGCCGCGGUAAUACGAAGGGUGCAAGCGUUAAUCGGAAUUACUGGGCGUAAAGCGCGCGUAGGUGGUUCAGUAAGUUGGAAGUGAAAUCCCCGGGCUCAACCUGGGAACUGCUUUCAAAACUGCUGAGCUAGAGUACGGUAGAGGGUGGUGGAAUUUCCUGUGUAGCGGUGAAAUGCGUAGAUAUAGGAAGGAACACCAGUGGCGAAGGCGACCACCUGGACUGAUACUGACACUGAGGUGCGAAAGCGUGGGGAGCAAACAGGAUUAGAUACCCUGGUAGUCCACGCCGUAAACGAUGUCAACUAGCCGUUGGGAGUCUUGAACU
rnacentral:rRNA from 1 species